CUUCACCGAGCCGAGCAGCAGCGGACGGUCCUCGGGGCGGCCCUGGCCGUAGGUGGCGAUCAGCGCCUGCGCCUC
rnacentral:antisense_RNA from 1 species